rnacentral:rRNA from 1 species
UAGGGAAUAUUGCCCAAUGGGCGAAAGCCUGAUGCAGCAACGCCGCGUGUGCGAUGAAGGCCUUCGGGUCGUAAAGCACUUUUCUGGGAGAUGAGAAAGGACAGUAUCUCAGGAAUAAGUCUCGGCUAACUACGUGCCAGCAGCCGCGGUAAAACGUAGGAGGCAAGCGUUAUCCGGAUUCACUGGGUGUAAAGCGCGUGCAGGCGGUUCGGUUAGUUGGGCGUGAAAUCUCCUGGCUCAACUAGGAGAGGUCGUUCAAUACUACCGGACUUGAGAGUGGUAGAGGAAGAUGGAAUUCCCGGUGUAGUGGUGAAAUGCGAAGAUAUCGGGAGGAACACCAGUGGCGAAGGCGAUCUUCUGUACCAUUUCUGACGCUCAGACGCGACAGCUAGGGUAGCAAA